rnacentral:rRNA from 1 species
AUUGAACGCUGGCGGCAUGCCUAACACAUGCAAGUCGAGCGAGCGGCGGACGGGUGAGUAAUGUAUGGGGACUGCCCGUUCGAGGGGGGUAACUACUUGAAACGGUGGCUAAUACCGCAUACUGUCGGAUGACCCAUAUGGGAGUAGCUCGUAGUUAAGGUAAUGGCUUACCUAGGCGACGAUGCCUAGCUGGUCUGAGAGGAUGAUCAGCCAAACGGGGACUGAGACACGGCCCAGAGUCCUACGGAGGCAGCAGUGGGGAAUAUUGCACAAUGGGCGCAAGCCGGAUGCAGCCAUGCCGCGUGUAUGAAGAAGGCCCUAGGGUUUUAAAGUACUUUCAGUCGGGAGGCGUUACCGACAGAAGAAGCACCGGCUAACUCCGUGCCAGCAGCCGCGGUAAUUC